rnacentral:tRNA from 1 species
GAUUAAAUGGCUGAAGGUUAGGCGAUAAAUUGUAAAUUUAUUUAUGGGAAAAUAUUCUCUUUAAUCA